rnacentral:lncRNA from 1 species
CAAAAUGUCGUAUCAAGUCUUCAACCAUGAAGUAAGUUUAGUUGAUGAAGUCGUCAACAUAAUGAGUGAAUGUGAGUCUCAAAACAUACAAAAGAAUACAUAGGUAGUGAAACUAACAAAACCUCACUAUAGUAAGACUCAGGGUGGGAUUAAAACACAUAGUCUAAGGCAACAUUCUAAAAUAUACAUCUAGGGCAACAUUCUGAAAGCUAAAAUUCAUCUCACUUGCUUAUCAUAAUUGUGUAGUACGGUGAUUGAGAUGAGACAUAGUGGGCAAUGGCCACUCUAAUUCGCUCAGUUCUUUAAGAACAUUGAUGUUCUUAUCUCCCCCUUACGACAGAAGUAUUGUCUCAUUAAAAUGACUGAUAGGGAUUUUACCACCUGCAAAAGUAGGGAUAAAAACCAAAGGUUCUAAAAAACGCUAGGCGCUAGUCGAGCGGUGCACCUAGCGCCUAGCACCUAGGUGGAUUUAGAUAAAUUUCUUAUAUAUUUUAUGAAUUAAUUAAAUUUACUAUAUCAAAUUUAAAUAAUUAUUGACUAAUAUGUUAUUUCUUAUGCAAGAACAUACAUAUGUGACUGUUUUAUGUGUAUAUAGGCGGAUUUAUAAUUUUUUGAAACUUAAUUAAAUUUAUUAUAACAAAAACUAGUUAUACUUAAUAAGAUGGACUGUUUUAUUAAUCCAAAUUCAAAAAUUAAUAAGAUGGUAAACAUAUAUAACGGCCCGGCCUGGCCCAGUCUACCCCACUGAAGGAAAUUUUGUGAAAAACAUGUUCAUUUGAGCAACAUCUAUAGCAUGCAAUUAACAAUUAAAAGGCGGAAUCAUGCUUGCAUGCACUCAAAAACAAAAUAUUAACCAUGAAAUUCAAAGCUUAGUAGAUUGGUGAACCAAGACUCAACUCAAAUCAAAGUGAGUUGAGAAAUUUAUACCUUUGUAGAUUCCUCUUUGCAUAACCAAAGGCUAAUCACCCAAGGAGAGGGCCUUCAUUCCUUGCUUCUUAGAUCCAUGGAUUUGGAUGGAAGAAUAUGUUUCUCCAAGUUCUCAAAAUAGAGAACCUCUAAGUCUCCACACCAAGGUAAGAUGUGAAGAAGAGAUGAGUGACCUUGGAGGAGAAAGAUUACUAGCUAAUCCCUCCAAGGGGGCCAGCCUCUUAGAGAGAAAAGAGAGAUAUGUUCUCUCCAAUUCUCUAAAAGAAACCCUAAAUGAAUUUUGGCUAUAAAGUCAUAUUUAUACCUUUAUUCAUUGGAGUGACAAACUUGUAAUUAAGUCCAAAACCCACUCCUUUAACAAAAUAGCCGGCCAUAGGGUUUCAUUGGGCUUUUAAGGCCUUUGUGAAUUAUUUAUCAUCAAGUUGUCAUACAACUUAAGUCAAUGGGCUUGACGUUCGAAGCCCAUUGGGCCUUGAGGCCCAAAACUAUCCCGAGGUCUUUAACGAACUUAUUCGUUUGAUUAAUUAACAUAUUAUUAAUCCUUGCCAUAAAUAAUUAAACCAUUUAAUUAUUCUUACUCAUCUCUAUUGUUUCUUCAAUCUCCACCUUACACGGUGUACGAUCCAUUAGGUUCCUUUUAGCGAGGCAGUGGGCAAUUAAAACCAUUUCAAAUCGAUUGUGAAUUGAAACUUACUUUCAAUUCUCCCUUUAGUGAUUAUACAUGUUUAG